UGUGGGACUUAGAAUUUGCAUUGCGGCUUCAACUAACUUCAAUGCAUAGAGAUGUAGAUGAUGACAGCAUGAACAGUUCUGCUCCGGAAUUGGCACCACAAGUUGUGCAGCACCUUCCAUCUCAUUAGUGCCAGCUGAAGAAGACGAUUCAUUUCGAGGAGGUGAUGAUAGUAGAAUUACAAUGGCUAGUGGGGUGUUCUCACAGCUGAAAAUUGAUGCUCGUAUAUAAUCUCGACAGGUCAGUUUCAGGAUGA
rnacentral:misc_RNA from 1 species